rnacentral:lncRNA from 1 species
CUGAAAUAUUACAAAAAUUACUAAAUCUAUGAAAAAUGUAGUUGUAAAUGUUUGUAUGAAAAAAGAAAUUAUUUCACAAUCAUCACUUUUCAAAUUUAGAUGUUUUUUUUAUGAAAAGUUUAUUUAUCAACCAUCUUCAACCAUAGAACAUGAUCACAUAAUAAUAUCAGUCUGUGGGUACUAUAUUUGAAAUAAUAAAAUAAGCACCAUUGGAUUAAACAAACAAUUUAUAUGCCAAAAAGUUGCAAAAGUUACUGUAGGCUACCCAAUAGCUGUUGGUUUAUUGUAUAUAAAAAUUUGUAAGGGUUCUGCGGAACCAAGUGUCUGGCCUACUUUAAGAAUCAAAUAAUUGUUUUAAAAGUUUAUCAGUAAAAUACAGAAUAACAGGAAAUAAAUUUUACAAAACUUACUUCUGGAUACUAUCUAAUGAUCAUAAACAGGCUUCUGUCCAAGUUUGGUAUCUCAAGAAUAGUUUAAGAAAGUUUCAAAACUUUAACCACAGAGUGAAUAUUUGCAGACGCUGUCUCUAACAGAAUAUAGGAUCACUAUGUCUUGCUUUUGAAACAAGUCACAGCUUGACAAAAAUGGAUUAAAAACUCAAAUGACCAGAUUAAAAUAUUUGUUUUAAAAAAGAUGAUAUUACAUGAUGGGGAUGAAGAAUAUCUUUAUUAUAAGAUGAAAAAUAAAUAACAUAAAGCUUACUGUAAAAUGAUUAAGUUCCAAAGACAAAGCUUAGAAAAAAGUGAGAAAAAAAUCCUUUCACAAAUCAUUAAAACAUGAGCACACCUUCACAGUAUGUGCAAUGUUGCUGUGAAGUUUAUGUAAUCUGCGUUGAAAACUGAAGGAGAAGAUGUUUACAUAAAACAUAAAUUUUGUUGAAAAAAGUCAAGCUUGAUAUAAAUUUAGUUGCAACAUGUCUAGAAAUUAUGACUGAUGUAUCAAAUCCAGCAAAAAAUUGUGUAACUUAACCAUAAAAACGAAUAAACUCAAACCUGAUUUCUAAAGACAAUAUUUUUCAGCUUGUGAUAAAAAAAAAUGAUGUAAAGAUUUGGCACAACACCCUCAACACACAUAGUGUUAGGUCUUUACAUAAAAUACAGUCCAGUGUUGCUUAUCACUGCAUGUGUAACACACUUCACAUGUAUACAAAAGUACUGCACAUCACAAUAUCACACAAUAAUACACAAUAAUACACAAUAAUA